GACGUAGGGCGCAAGCGUUGUCCGGAAUUAUUGGGCGUAAAGAGCUCGUAGGCGGUCUGUCGCGUCGGAUGUGAAAAUCCAGGGCUCAACCCUGGACCUGCAUUCGAUACGGGCAGACUAGAGUUCGGUAGGGGAGACUGGAAUUCCUGGUGUAGCGGUGAAAUGCGCAGAUAUCAGGAGGAACACCGGUGGCGAAGGCGGGUCUCUGGGCCGAAACUGACGCUGAGGAGCGAAAGCGUGGGGAGCAAACAGG
rnacentral:rRNA from 1 species